rnacentral:rRNA from 1 species
AUUGAACGCUGGCGGCAGGCCUAACACAUGCAAGUCGAGCGGAUGAAGGGAGCUUGCUCCUGGAUUCAGCGGCGGACGGGUGAGUAAUGCCUAGGAAUCUGCCUGGUAGUGGGGGAUAACGUCCGGAAACGGGCGCUAAUACCGCAUACGUCCUGAGGGAGAAAGUGGGGGAUCUUCGGACCUCACGCUAUCAGAUGAGCCUAGGUCGGAUUAGCUAGUUGGUGGGGUAAAGGCCUACCAAGGCGACGAUCCGUAACUGGUCUGAGAGGAUGAUCAGUCACACUGGAACUGAGACACGGUCCAGACUCCUACGGGAGGCAGCAGUGGGGAAUAUUGGACAAUGGGCGAAAGCCUGAUCCAGCCAUGCCGCGUGUGUGAAGAAGGUCUUCGGAUUGUAAAGCACUUUUAGUUGGGAGGAAGGGCAGUAAGUUAAUACCUUGCUGUUUUGACGUUACCGACAGAAUAAGCACCGGCUAACUUCGUG